GCCGCUGUGGUGAAAUUGGCAGACGCGAUGGACUCAAAAUCCAUUGGACUAAUCCUCCGUGCCGGUUCGACUCCGGCCAGCGGCACCA
rnacentral:tRNA from 2 species